CAAUAAGCGGAGGAAAAGAAACCAACAGGGAUUGCCCUAGUAACGGCGAGUGAAGCGGCAACAGCUCAAAUUUGAAAUCUGGCUUCGGCCCGAGUUGUAAUUUGCAGAGGAUGUUUAUGGUGCGGUACCUUCCGAGUUCCCUGGAACGGGACGCCACAGAGGGUGAGAGCCCCGUCUGGUUGGAUACCAAACCUGUGUUAAACUCCUUCAACGAGUCGAGUAGUUUGGGAAUGCUGCUCUAAAUGGGAGGUAAAUCUCUUCUAAAGCUAAAUACCGGCCAGAGACCGAUAGCGCACAAGUAGAGUGAUCGAAAGAUGAAAAGCACCUUGAAAAGGGGGUUAAACAGUACGUGAAAUUGUUGAAAGGGAAGCGUUUAUGACCAGACUUGUGUCGUGUGGCUCAUCCGAGGUUCUCCCCGGUGCACUCCACACGGCUCAGGCCAACAUCGGUUCUCGUUGGGGGAUAAGAACAGUAGGAACGUGGCCCCUCUCGGGGGGUGUUAUAGCCUAUUGUACGAUACUCUGACGGGGACCGAGGACCGCGCUUCGGCUAGGAUGUUGGCGUAAUGGUCAUUAGCGACCCGUCUUGAAACACGGACCAAGGAGUCGUCCAUUAGAGCGAGCGUUUGGGUGUAAAACCCGCACGCGUAAUGAAAGUGAAAUUAGGUGAGAGCUUCGGCGCAUCAUCGACCGAUCCUGAAGUUUACGGAUGGAUUUGAGUAAGAGUUUUAACGGACGGACCCGAAAGACAGUGAACUAUGCUUGAAUAGGGUGAAGCCAGAGGAAACUCUGGUGGAGGCUCGCAGCGGUUCUGACGUGCAAAUCGAUCGUCAAAUUUGAGCAUGGGGGCGAAAGACUAAUCGAACUGUCUAGUAGCUGGUUA
rnacentral:rRNA from 1 species